UGAGGAACAUGACCUUCGGCGGGGGAGUAGCCGGCCCAACGGCCGGGUAAUACCGCGUACGACCACUCGGGGACAUCCCCAGGUGGUGAAAGCAGCAAUGCGCCGAUGGAGUGCCUCGCGGCCUAUCAGCUAGUUGGUGAGGUAACGGCUCACCAAGGCAACGACGGGUAGCUGGUCUGAGAGGAUGGCCAGCCACAUUGGGACUGAGACACGGCCCAGACUCCUACGGGAGCAG
rnacentral:rRNA from 1 species